rnacentral:lncRNA from 1 species
UUUUAACUACACUACAAUACACAAUUUCAUUCACUGUUUAAGUUCAUAAUGGUGAUGCAUAAUCCAGUAUAAUGUACUAAAUAACAAUGUUAGCUUAUUUGCAAACCGUAUUACUUCUACAAACCAAGUGGAAAACCACUAAUCCAACGUUAGAAUCGACAUUAUUGUUUUAGCAGUCGUUCAUUAAUUCCCAUAAUUUGGGCUAACUGGUUUUUCUGUAAUAGCAAGUUGAAUGUCAGUUUCAUCACACUAACAAUCCAAAGCUCGUGUACGUUAAAUUCCAUUCCCAAAAUACCAUUUAGUAGCAAACUAGUUACUAACUAAUAGCAUAAUAACAUGGCAUACAAUUCAAUUAUGGUUUCAAUUAAAAAUUGGAGCUUCAUGUUACAAUUUCAUUUCAAUUCCUAACGACAUUUGACACUAACCAAACAAACCGAUUACGAAUCAUGGCAAUUUUGUGCUAACUGUUACCUUCAAAACAAGGGAUCGGUUCAUGGCAGGGUGAAUGUUGGCAUUUGAUUCGCAUCAACCAAUCUCAUUUCCUGCAUCACAAAAUGACAAUUUGUUAACAUCUAACAAGCUAACAAUUUUAUUCCAAUACAAUGGAUGACUACAACAUCCUUUAAUAACAUACUCACCACUUAGCAUCAUUUUGCCAAUGGAAUCAACAUUAAUUUAAUAGAACUUUCUAACAGAACUUGUAACCAAAACUAACCAUUUCGUAACUGACUGCGUAAUCAAUCCCAUAACUAACUGGAUAAUAAUGUAACCGUUUUUUUAACUAACUGGAUUUAGUUUGAAUGCACUUUCACUUUGUCGCAUCCGCGAAAAACAACCGGCGGGCUAAAACAAAAAACAACACAGAGCCGCCACUGCGCGUUAUUUAUCCCAAAAUAGGGAAAGGAAACGCUCAGAGAAACCUGGAAAAAGCGUGGUCUCGCGACCAAAGAGAAAGGGUAAGGGAGUCGGUUACGCAAGGGGAAGGUAUUAGCACCCCUCACGUCCGUCGUACUCGACGGGAUCCACGCUCUAAGAAAAGAAAAGGUUAGGCUAAAACACCACACACAACACGCACCGAAGCCAACACAGGUGCGGGUUAAGAAGGAAGAGAGGAAGAGAGCUCGAUAGGACGUCGCAUCCCUAUGCCUACGUUCUUAUAUCGUCUGGAACGAGAAUCAGAGCUGCCGUUAGUUCGCUCAACGCACGCCAAACAACACACACACCCACAGGCAAAUCUGGAACCCGAAUGCCAAUCGCUGGACUUACAUCGCUUCCAACCAAACAAACACAAUCAGGAUACGUACAGCCAAUCGCUUGGCUUACGUCCAUAUCCUGACACACAAAAGAUAAACCAAGCAAACACACACAAAAAGAAAAAAGUGCCCGGAGAGACUCGCACGGUCCUUCCUGCUACAUACCUCGUCUGGAACGGAGGAUCAGGGCGAUGUAAGUUCCCCUGAAAGGGAAAAAAUUCUAGCAGAACCACGGGGAGACACACUACCAGGAGCUGUACUCGAGCCUAGUGUUAUCAUGCAUCAUUGCCCUAUUGUUGUGGUUUCUACCUACUUGCCACAACAGCAAGCUAAUCCUAUCCAGGAAGAAAGCAAGCAUGCAAGCAUCAAAUCAAAAAUACAAAAACAAACAUUUCAAGCCAAUAUUCACAAAGCACACACCCAUAUCAGUCAAAAGUUCGCGGCUCAAAUCAAAGGGUGUCACUGCCCAAGACAAGUCAUCUGUACAGUAAGAGUUAGCCUCUUAACCUUGCCAUUUGACGAGGCUAAGAGUACGUUGAAGACCUGACUGCGAGGUGCAUGAAGAUCAGACCUUACACACAGCUCUUAUCCCCUGAUCAGCGCGAAGCUUCAGACAAAAGAGCGUCGCGUCCAGAAUGAGCGGACCUCUCUCUGUUUUUACGCUCCUAAGCACGUCUGACUCGAUUGCGCAACCAGCACAAUAUCUUGGGUUAAUUGUUCCCAAUGCAUCUACACAGUGGUGUGAGCAGAGGGACGACUCAACAGAUAGCGGGGGAUAGAUUGCAUAUCCCUUGGGUUCCGCCAAUUGCCUCAUAGAGGUCAUUUACCUGCUUGGCCACAAAAGUAAACAAUCACAGACAUCGCCUCUUAAGGAGGACUUCAGACAGUUGCCCUGGCUAAAAAUAACAAGCCAGGUCUUCCAGGACUUACAUGAAGACAGAGAGUCUACCUCAACGUUUAAAACCAAUCAAACAGCAGCAAGUCUUAAAGAACUGUAAGCGGACUAUAUGUACCUGAAAUCAAUCAAGUAUCAAUCAGCUACUCAGACAAAGACCAACAAUUAAACAGGCAAAAAGUCAAUCUAUUACAGACAACACAAGUUAAUGCAAUAAGUGCAAGCCAUGAGUUCAUAUCUCAAGCAUUCAAACCUACAACACAAAGCCAAUGUUAGUUUACACAUGCAAAACGAUCUCAAUUUACAACUUGAAUUUUUUCCUUUAAAGCCUUUGCACUUUUUAACCUGAAAAUCCAAACCAAAUGUGAGAAAACUAGACACUAGGCCAAAACCUAGGGUCCCAAAGGGAGCAUGAAAAAAGCCAAAACAGCAAGUGAAAUUUUCCAAAAUUCACAUCAAACAAAAUUAUAAGCAAAUGCAAUUGGUCCAUGCUCAUAUUCAAUCACCAUUAUCAUUUUAUGCAAAUAAUAGCACCAAACAUGCAAUUUGCAACUCCAAAUGACCAAACAGAACUAUCUCAAUCAAAAGCAUACCAAAACAGUUCAAUUAAUUCCACAAAAAUUCACACCUAAACAGGACACAUUCAAUGCAUAGCAUGUCAAUUUUUAGCUCAAUUGGACAAAAAGAAAUAGGUCAAUGAAAAUCAAGAAGUCCAGACACAUUUAUACAAGCCAAUUCAAGGCAUCAACACAAACAUCAAAUUCCAUAAAUCACAAAACAGUGACAACAAUUAAGAAAUGAAUGGGAUCAAAACCAUGAUGUCCUAUAAUGCGUCUAGAAUACUCAUACCAAAUUUCAUCUUCAUCCAAUACAAUAUGAGAAUUUCACAAACAAAAUACCAACAUGUGUCACACAAACUCACAAAAUGAGCCAACAGAGAAGAAAAUUAUCAAUCAAUUAGAAAAUGAUAUCAACAAUUCCAGAAAAAUUCUCAUGUAAUCUCGAUAUAUCAAGGAUCAUCCACACAAAAAUUGGAGCAAUUCAAUAUCUCUAGGCCAGGAAAAUAAAAUCAUGAAGUUGACUUAGCUUGGUGUGACACAAAUUGUCACACCUUAAUUCAAAAAAUCAUAUCUAAUCAACCAAGUAUCCAAAAAUCACAAACUCUACAUGAAAAUCACCAUCAACAUGUCCAGAACAAGCACAAAAAUUUUCAUCCAUUUCUUUGCAAGCAUCACUAUUUCAUGAAGGAUUUGGCAAAACAUACAUAAAUGUGACACAUUCAACAAACCCUAGGUCAAUUAAUUUUCCACACGUGCAAAAAAUCCACAAAAAUCAUAAUCAAAUUCUACACAUCAUCAUGAGAACAAUGCAAAAAAUUUCACAAAAUUUGGAUGAGUUUUGAAGCCUCUAUGAAUUUUUGAAGUUCAUGUAACAAAAGGAAAUAACCAAAAGAAAAAGAAAUGAAAUAAAGAUUUAAUUAAAUGAAGCAGUGGCAAUGUUGUAAUAUUUAAUGGUUCAGGCAAAACGACGCCGUAUCAAAAACAUUACAAGGCGCUCUCUGAUUGGUUCCUACAGGCGGUAAACAUGUAAUUUGAAAUGAAAUCCAGAAAAAUGGAUCAAACACACGUUUUGGCCUUGUUCCUCAUCAAGAAUGUCCAGAUUUUUCCAGAAAAUGAAGAACAUCGAAUCUUCAUCAAAAUCAACAAAUGUAUAACCAAUAGAACCGUCCUUCCAUGUAGAUUAAGGAUAUGUGAUCAAUUCAACCUAAUUCCUAACAUACAAUCGGGAUCGAUCAAAAAGAGUUAUGAACAUCAAACCUAAAAUCGUGAUAUCUCUCUCAAUAAUCAACCAAAUCGAAAACUAAGCACAGCAUGAUGAUCUAUGAUGAAUGAACUACCAAAAGCAUAUCAUAAUUCAAGAAAUUGUGAGAUUCGAAAAAACCUUGUGAUUAUGGCAAAGGUGAAUCUGGAUGUUUCCAAGCUCAACAAGGCGAAACAGAUGCAGCACCAGGUUCAGGAAGUUGAAUGGAAAAGCUAUCCUAGCUCCAACACGAUCCAGAAGCAAAAUUUCUCAAAACUCCAUUGAUGUGCACCACAUGAACAGUCACGAUCCUAAUUUAUCAAUUGAAAAGUUGUUUGUAGCUGUCAUGAGCUGUCACAUUGGCAUAUUGGCAAGGCUAUUUUUGAACUUUCACCUUAAAAGUCAUUUCAUAAUUAAGCAAAAUUUUUUGGUAAUUGUGAAUUAAGGGGAAUGAUUAAGGAGAAAUGGUAUUUGAGGAUAAUCAUAACAGAAUGUUAAUCAACAUGCACAUUCCAAGAAUCUAACAAACUUUCCCUCCAUUUUCUCACAAUUCUCUCAAGAACGUCAUCAAUUUUUUGUCAAGACUUAUCAAUUCUUCACCAAUUGAAGGAUUCUUUUUGAUUCUGUGCUCCACAAGCUAAGAGCUGCAUCUUUUUCGCCCAAGCCAUUUGCCAAAACCUCAUAUGAUCGUGACUGUUCCAUGUGUGUGCACAUCAAUGUGAGGUUUUUGAGAAAUUUUGUUCUGGAUUCGUGUGCGACUAUGAUAGCUUUUUCCAUCUCAACUGUCUGAACCUGCCUGCUGCAUCUGCUUUUCGCCUUUUGAGUUGGAAAACAUCAGUUCACCUUGGCCAUAAAUCGCAAUGGUUCUUUUCGAAAUCUCACAAUUUUCUUUGAACAUUUGAUAUCUGUCUUUGUAGUUCAUGCAUUCAUAGAUCAUCAAUCUGUGCUUAGUUUUUCGAUUGGUUGUUAUCUGAGAGAGAUAAAUCACGAUUUUAGGUUGAUGUUCAUCUCCUUUUGAUCGAUCCCGAUUGUAUGUUAGGAAUUAGGUUGAAUUGAUCACAAUUAUCGCUUAAAUCUACAAUGAAGGACGGUUUAUUGUUAUACAUUUGUUUGAUUUUGAUGAAGAUUCGAUGUUCUUCAUUUUCUGGAAAAAAUCGGGACAUUCUGAUGAGGGAACAAGGCCAAAACGUGUGGUUUGAUCCAUUUUUCUGGGAUUUCAUUUCAAAUUAGCAUGUUUACCGGCGCUGUAGGAACCAAUCAGAGAGCGCCUUGUAAAUGUUUUUGAUACGGCGUCGUUUUUGCCUGAACCAUUAAACCAUAUUAACAAACAUUGCCCACUGCUCCAUUUAAUUAAAAUGCUUUAUUUCAUUUCUUUUUCUUUUGGUUAUCUUCCUUUGUUACAUGAAGGCUUCAAAAAUUCCAUAGAAGGCUUCAAAACUCAUCCAAAUUUUUUGUGAAAAUUUUUUUGCAUUGUUCUCAUGAUGAUGUUGUAAAUUUGAUUAUGAUUUUUUGUGAUUUUUUGCACGUGUGGAAAAAUUAAUUGACCUAGGGUUUGUUGAAUGUGUUCACAUUUAUGUAUGUUUUGCCAAAUCCUUCAUAGAAAUAGUGGAUGCUUGCAAGAAAUGGAUGAACAAUUUUUUGUGCUUUGUUCUGGACAUGUUGAUGGUGGAUUUCAUGUAGAGUUUGUUGAUUUUUUGAUACUUGGUUGGAUUAGACUAUGAUUUUUUUUUGAAAUUAAGGUGUGACAAUUUGGUGUCACACCAAGGCUAAGUCAAGCUUCAUGAUUUUAUUUUCCUGGCCUAGAGAUAUUGAGAUUGCUCCUAAUUUCUUGUGUGGAUGAUCCUUGAUAUAUCGAGAUUACAUGAGAAUUUUUCUGAAUUGUUUGGUAUGCAUUUUCUAAUUGGAUUGAUAAAUUUUUCUUUUUCUCUGUUGCUCAUUUUGUUGAGUUGGUGUGACACAUGUUGGUAUUUGUUUGUGAAAUUCUCAUAUUGGUAUUGGAUGAAGAUGAAAUUUGGUAUGAGUAUCUAGACGCAUUAUAGGACAUCAAAAUGGUUUUGAUCCCAUUCAUCUUCUUACUUGUUGUCACUGUUUUGUGAUUUAUGGAAUUUGAUGUUAUGUGUUGAUGCCUUGAUUGGCUUGUAUAAAUGUGUCUGGACUUUCCUGAUUUUCAUUGACCUAUUUCUUUCUUUUGUCAAUUGAGCUAAAAAUUGGACAUGCUAUGCAUUGCAUGUGUCCUGUUUAGGUUUUGGUGAAUUUUUUGUGGAAUUAAUUGAACUUGUUUUUGGUAUGCUUUUGAUUGAGAUAGUUCUGUUUGGUCAUUUGGAGUUGCAAAUUGGAAAUGUUUUUGGUGCUAUUAUUUGCAUAAAAUGAUAAUGGUGAUUGAAUAUGAGCAUGGACCAAUUGCAUUUGCUUAUAAUUUUGUUUGAUGUGAAUUUUGGAAAAUUUCACUUGCUGUUUUGGCUUUUUUCAUGCUCCCUUUGGGACCCUAGGUUUUGGCCUAGUGUCUAGUUUUCUCACAUUUGGUUUGGAUUUUCAGGUUAAAAAGUGCAAAGGCUUUAAAGGAAAAAAUUCAAGUUGUAAAUUGAGAUCGUUUUGCAUGUGUAAACUAACAUUGGCUUUGUGUUGUAGGUUUGAAUGCUUGAGAUAUGAACUCAUGGCUUGCACUUAUUGCAUUAACUUGUGUUGUCUGUAAUAGAUUGACUUUUUGCCUGUUUAAUUGUUGGUCUUUGUCUGAGUAGCUGAUUGAUACUUGAUUGAUUUCAGGUACAUAUAGUCCGCUUACAGUUCUUUAAGACUUGCUGCUGUUUGAUUGGUUUUAAACGUUGAGGUAGACUCUCUGUCUUCAUGUAAGUCCUGGAAGACCUGGCUUGUUAUUUUUAGCCAGGGCAACUGUCUGAAGUCCUCCUUAAGAGGCGAUGUCUGUGAUUGUUUACUUUUGUGGCCAAGCAGGUAAAUGACCUCUAUGAGGCAAUUGGCGGAACCCAAGGGAUAUGCAAUCUAUCCCCCGCUAUCUGUUGAGUCGUCCCUCUGCUCACACCACUGUGUAGAUGCAUUGGGAACAAUUAACCCAAGAUCUUGUGGCUGUUGCAGCAAUCGAGUCAGACGUCUUGAGCGUAGAAGGGUCCCUCCAUUCUGGACGGCCACGCUCUUUUGUCUGAAGCUCUCCCUGAUCAGGGGAUAAGAGCUUGUUGAAGUCUGAUCUUCACUGCACCUCUGCAUCAGGCUUCACCUUAGCCUCUCAAUGGCAAAGGUUAAAGAGCUAACUCUACUUGUAACAGAUGACUUGCCUUGGCAGUUCGACACCCUUUGUUUGAGCCCGACUUUUGACUGGAUAUGGUGUGUGCUUUGUGAAUAUUGCUUGAAAUGUUUGUUUUUUAUUUUUGAUUUGAUGCCCUUUGCAUGCUUGCUUUCCUUCCUGGAUAGGAUUAGCUUGCUGUUGUGGCAAAGUAGGUAGAAACCACAACAAUAGGGCAAUGAGCAUGAUAACAGCUAGGCUCGAGUACAGCUCCCUGGUAGUGUGUCUCCCCGUGGUUCUGCUAGAAUUUUUUCCCUUUCCAGGGGAACUUACAUCGCCCUGAUCCUCCGUUCCAGACGAGGUAUGUAGGCAGGAAGGACCGUGCGAGGUCUCUCCGGGCACUUUUUCUUUUUGUGUGUGUUUGCUUGGUUUAUACUUAUUGUGUGUCAGGAUAAUGAUCGUAAGCCAAGCGAUUGGCUGUACGUAAUCCUGAUUGUGUUUGUUUGGUUGGAAGCCGAUGUAAGUCCAGCGAUUGGCAAUUCGGGUUCCAGUUUGCCUGUGGGUGUGUGUGUUUGUGUUGGCGUGCGUUGAGCGAACUAACGGCAGACUCUGAAUUCUCGUUCCAGACGAAAAGAACGUAGGCAUAGGGAUGCGACGUCUAUCGAGCUCUCUUCCUCUCUUCCUUCUUAACGCCGCACUGUGUUGGCUUCCGGUGCGUGUUGUGUGUGGUGUUUUAGCCUAACCUUUUCUUUUCUUAGAAGCGUGGAUCCCUCGAGUACGACGGACGUGAGGGGUGCUAAUACCUUCCCCUUGCCGUAACCGACUCCCUUAACCCUUUCUCUUUGGUCGCGAGACCACGCUUUUUCACAAAGGUUUCUCUGAGGCGUUUCCUUUCCCUAUUUUGGGAUAAAUAACGGCACGGUGGCGGCUCUGUGUUUUUUUUGUUUUAGGCCCGCCGGUGUUUUUCGCGAUGCGACAAAGGAAAGUGGCAUUCAAAACUAAAUCGCAGUUAGUUUAAAAAACGGUUACAUUAUUAUCCAGUUAGUUAUGGGAUUGAUACGCAGUCAGUUACGAAAUGGUUAGUUUUUGGUUACAAGUUCUGUUAGAAAAGUUCUAUUAAAUUAAUGUUGAUUCCAUUGGCAAAAAAAUGAUGGCUAACAGUUGGUGAGUAUGUUAUUAAGCGAUCGUUGUAGUCCAUCCUAUUUGUAUUGGAAUAAAAUUGUUAGCUUGUUAGAUGUUAACAAAAUUGUCAUUCUUGUGAAUCAGGAAAUGAAGAUUGGUUAUGCGAAUCAAAGCCAACAUUCACGGACCUUGCCAUGAACCGAUCCCGUUGUUUUGAAGGUAACAGUUGCACAAAAAUUGCCAUGAUUCGUAAUCGGUUUGUUUUGGUUAGGUGUCAAUGUCGUUAGGAAAUUGAAAAUGAAAUUUAACAUGAAGGCUCCAAAUUUCUUAAUUGAAACCAUAAUUGAAAUUGUAUGGCCAUGUUAAUUAUGCUAUUAGUUAGUACUAUUUGCUACUAAAUGGUAUUUUGGGAAUGGAAUUUAACGUACACGAGCUUUGGAAUUGUUAGUGGUGAUGAAACUGACAUUCAACCUUGCUAUUACAGAAAAACCAGUUAGCCCAAAUUUAAUGGAAUUAAUGAACGAACUGCUAAAAAAUAAUGUCGAUUCUAACGUUGGAUUAGUGGGUUUUCCACUUGGUUUGUAGAAGUAAUAACGGUUUGCAAAAUAAGCUAACAUUGUUAUUUUAGUACAUUCAUACUGGACUUAUGCCAUCACCAUUAUGAACUUGAAACAGUGAAUGAAAUUGUGUAUUGUAGUGUUAGUUAAAAUGCCCAAGCCGGCUUCGAGAAUGUCGUGUUUUGCAAAAGUUUGAAGGAUAAUCCGCGGCCUGCUAUGGAAUUAACAUUAGCCAAGGUUCCUUAAGUCAAGUUUUGGUAAGGCACUGUUAGAAAAAAUCUGAAAGUUGUUAAUAAUGCUGUAUGAGUUGUGACCUUAUGCCCAAUGAGAUUAGUUAAUGGCUUUGUUGGCCAUCUACUGCUACUCCCUGCUGUUAUUAGCUAUAGCUCAGUGCUUUAUUUAUGUGUUUUACAUAGACUCAUGGUUGUCCUGUUGAACUUGUUGGUUAUAUUUAUGCUUGUUAACAUAGGGUUGCUAUGCUUUGUUUUGUUAUUGCAUUGGUAAUGAAUGGAAUAUGCCAAUAAGUUAAUCUCGCACUUGCUAAUGCUUAAAAUGCAUUGAAAUUAUGGGAUGCUUGGAACGCUGUCCAUGCAAUGCACUUAUAAUGCUUGAAUUUUAGAUACUGGUAAUGACGCAUAGCUUGGUGGGAAUUUGAAAUGUUGCUAAGUUUGAUUAGUGAUGUUGCCAUGUGAAAGAAUAUGAUGCUUGUUGAUAAAAUGAUGUGGUUUUUGAUAAUGCAUUGGUUUGACAUGCUGAAUAUGUUAUGUUUGCUUUGUUUGUAGGCUUUGCACUUAGCAUGGUGUUGAUGUAGGCCAUGGUGGGCUAAGAAUUGCAAAGUCAUCCUUUCAAGGCAAGAAAGGCAAGUUCAAGCCCUAAUGAUGACCAAUUUGUGCAAAAGCUUGAUUAAUGGAGUUAAUGGUGGCGCAUGGACGAUCAUGAUAUUUACAAUGAUUGAAGAUGUAAUUAGUGUUUAAGAUGCCUAAGGUGCAAAAAAUGAAUGGUUGACUUUGGUUCACUAUUUGACGCAAAAAUCAACAAUUGGCCAAAAGUCAACUUUUUUUAUAAAUGAAUUUGAUUUAAUUUUUGUAAAGAACAAGGCAUGCUUUGAUAAAUGAAUGAAGAAUGUCAUGUUUUAAAACUGUAAUGAUCUGAGUUAUAUGGAUUGAAACUUGACCUUUUUUUUUGGCUUAUGUAUGUAUUUCCCUUUUUUAAUUCAUACGAAAUAUGAUCACAUGUUGACACAACUUACUUUCGCCAGCUAAAUAAAUGAAACCAAUAGAGUGAGUGGGCCCCCCGUGAUCAUGAUGAACCCAGGACAAAUAAUAGAUGCAAUAGAUCAAUACUGAUUAGUGUGAUCAUGAACUCAAGGAUCAAAGACCAAGAACUUGAAAGUACCACGUGCACAUCACUAGUGGGACCAGAAAGACCAAAUAUGAAAUGCAUGUGUAUGAAUGCUGCAUGUGUAUGGAGGUUUUUCAUGAUGCAUUCUUCUCAAUAACAAAGUCUUUGAAUGAUAAACAAGAUGCUUUAUAAGCAAAUAUCUAAUUUAAUGAGUCUCAAUUAGCGGUUUGAUGGUCAAAGAACAAAGUCCAAAAGAAAAUCCUGAUGGCCUUACAACCAAAUCAUCAGGACAUUAGGGUUUGAAACGCCCUAGGAUUACCACGAUAAGGCUUUCUUGAGAUCCUGCCUGCAAUGACCCAACAAAUUAGGGAUUCAGUCAUCCAUGAUGAGUAAUGUGAAUAGCCAUGUCAUGCUUCAUAAGAGUUUGAUCCACAAGUAAACUUAGUUUUGCCAAGCCACAAGCUUUUGAAUCUAUGAUAUCAUUAGUCGAAUGUACAUAUGAAAUGAAUGAUGCACAUCAAUAAUAAUGGAUCUCACGCAAUUGUUAGAGUGAAAACUAAAGGAUUGCAAAUUUUGGGGUACAAUAGUUAUGUUGGGAAAAAGUCAUUAAGGUGUAAUAAUUGUAAAAGGGACUUAUAAAUAAUGGGGCAAAUAUUUUUGGCAAAAUGAUUUAUAAAUUGGGAUAGAGCGAGAGUAGAAGUUUACAAUGUGUCAAAAAAUAAGAAUGAGAACAGAUGCUUAAUGCGAUUGGACUUUAGAUUAGCAUAUUUUUAAAUGACUAAACUUACUUAAUUUCUUAUAUAUUAGAUUCUUAUUCAUAAUAUACACAUGUGGAAGUUAAUGUCCAAUUUCUUAAUAAAUAAAUGUAUGACAAACUCAUUAUUUGGUGGAAGGAUCUGAACGUGAACGUUAAGUUUUUGACACAUGUCACCGUUACGAAUGGAAAAAAAGCAAACCAAACAGUACGCAUUGGAAACUGCACUAACUUUUAUCCUUUUUUAAAUAAACAAUUAAAUUCAAAAUUUAAAAAAAGAAGACUUAAAUUUAUAACCUUAUGUAUAUAUAUAUCAACGAAUGUGUUUAGACCUGAAUGCUUUCAAAAUUUUAAAUUAAUUAAAUCCAUAUAUUAAAAUUAUUAAUUUUCUAAAAAAAUUUAAAUUAGAUAUAAAUAUUAAAGUAUGCAUAGUCAUUAAAGAGAGAUAAUCAAAAUAAUUUUUUUAUCCUAAUCAUGCCUUGUCACCAUACAAAAGUGGGAGGAAGACUAAAAAAAUUUAAAAUGCAUCAAAAUUUAAAGGAUCCGAAUAAUUGAAUUUAUAAAUAGGAGAUCAAUUAUUUAAAAUGUCUAAAUUAGAGGAAUAAAAAAACAUUAAAACCUUUUUUUUACCUUUCAUUAUUAUUGUAAUAUCGAUUUUUAUAUAUACAAGUUUAACUAAACGCUCUAGGCAAAAGAAGAGCUAAGCUAGUCAUUGGGCUUAACAUAAUCUACAAAAUUCAGCCUAACACUUUAAAUAAACAAUUCUUAUUUACAACCACAGGCUAUUGAAAUCAACAAAGUUAUAAUAUUUGUUGUAAACUUAAUUCUUCAUAUCUUCUAAAAGCUUUAAGGCAUAUAUUUAAUAAAUAAUUAAUUUACGAGAAAAGAACAUAGGUGGAUAUACUAUUAUACAAGAUGAAAUUAAAAUUACUAACUUUUAAGUAAAACAACAAAUAAUUUUACAACUUUAACAUUUAAAAAUCUUUUUGAUAAGUUUGAGAGAUGGAAAUGAAAUUCUAGAAUAAGAAAGAAUGAACACUUUGAUUUCUAGAUAGUUUUCAAUUACAAGAACAUCAUUCUGAAUGUAAUAAGGCUCUGUGGGUGUUAUCAAUUCUGUACCAAAUACAUAAAUACAUCGGUUUACAAUACAACCUGCAACACAAAUUUUGGAAACCGGCAUAUGUUUUUGACAAUAGAGUCUUUAUAACAUCAAAAUAUGCUGCAAUGAAAAGGAAGAAAAAAAAAAAUAUAAGAACCGAUAUUAAACGGGCAUAAAUAAUUUAGAUACAAGUUAGGAUAAAAAAUAGCUUACGGAUUUGAGUCGGUUGCAACAAGAAUAGAGAAAGAGACAAGGAUAAUAGUAUAAACAAACCUUGAGAACUUCCAUCAUAUAUUUUUCCAGUUAGCAUGUAACAAAAACAGAAAGGAUAUGAUUUGUUCACUUUAAUAACAAUAUAAAAUCCUUGUGGUAAAAUUCUUUAUAAAAAACUAAUUCAUUUUUUAGGUUGUCUUUAAAUAUAUUUUUGUGUUGUAAUUUGUUCCCUUGGGCAAUUUAGUAAAGAGGUCAUAAAUUUUUUUUUGGCCAAUUACACUAAAAUCCAUUCUCAAUCUUUCCAAACUUUUGAAUUUUUUUAAGGAAUAAACAUAUAAAAAAAUGAAAUAAUAUAGUUGGGCUGUGGGCAAAAUUAUUCUUUAGAUCUGACAAUUGCAAUUACCGCUUUUAUUAAUUUUUAUUUUUAAAUUAUUGUGUUUUAUUUCUAAUAGUAUAGUCAAAAUAGGAAAUACUUGGUGAGAUGAACAAGAUUGCUAAUCUCACAUCUUCUAAAUAUUUGAUUUAUUGAGUCUAAUAUACGGUAUAAAAGUCUUCUGAGACCACUUAUAAUCUCAUCACAACUCACUUGAAUUCUUUAAAUAGAUUUCACUUAAUUUUUUUAUAUUAUAUUAUCUUUUUAAAACAAUUUAUAUAUUUUUUUCAAAUAUCAAUAUAAAUUAUCAAAAAUUUUUAAAAUGAAGUCCCAUAAAUCCAUAAUAUAUUUUAAUGAAUACUUGUAUCUAAAUUAAUUAUUAUUUUUAUUAUUAAAAAAAUAAUAAAUAUUAUAAAUUAUUAGUAUAAAAUUUUUAGCACGAUCGAUUUAUCACCAUCAUUUAUUUAUAUUAUUAUUAUUAUAUUUUUAAAAUAAAAGCUAAAUUAUUUUAAUAACAAAAUAUUUAAUUUAAAUUAAUUAUGUAAAAUCUUUUUUAAUACUGUAGAUAUCAAUUUAUUUAAUUUAAAUUAAAUAAUUAAAAAAAAUAGACAAUUGACAUAAAGCACUAAAACUUUACUGCAGCCUCGUUUUGUGCAUUAGAGAACGACAAUUACGAAAGCAAAUAUAAAUGUUCCUGUCAUUGGUGGUCCUUGGUUAUAGUGUAGGCCAGGGUAAGGCCAAAAGGUUGCGCGAUUAACUAAGGCUCUUAAAAGCAAUGCUAUUAUAUCUUAUUUUGAUUCUUAAAUAGAUUCUACAUAUUUUUUUUAUAUUAUUUCUAAUCUUUAAUUAUUAACCAAUUUAUUUGUAUUUUUUAAAAUAUAUUCAUAUCAUUCUCAUUAAAAAACUUAAAAUGAGGUCUCAUUAACAUGUUGGCAGUCGUGAUCGGGAAGAAGAAGGACUAGUAAGGUGUUGUUCUAUCAUCCAUACAGUGGUGUGGAUGUGAAACGUGUUUGAGAAAAAUCGUUGAUUCGACGAUGAACAGAAAGCUGCGUGAGAUACAGCUGGUGCGGUGCUCCGCAAUGAUGGCAUCAGUGAAAAAAGGUGAAGCUUCAGUCUCUACGUAAGGCAUUAAUGAGAAUCUGCAGCAUGAAAGAACAAUGAGAACGUACCUAACUACAUCUUCAGAGUGAUUCCGAUCACAAAUGAGAUGAAGUCGUGUGGAAAAAACUCUCUCUGAAGAAAGUAUCAUUGAGAAGGUACUUAGAUCUCUUACUGCCUUAUUUUUGAUUACAUGCGUUUGUAAAGCAAUUGAACAUUCUAAGGAUCUAAACACCCUGAGAAUAAGAAGAGCUGCAAAGCAGUCUAGAGGCACAAGUGUUGCCGUCUGACGAAAGAAUCUUUGUGAGAGGGUAGAGCAUAGCUCUGAAAGCUUCUUUUUGUCAAGAAAGACCAGAAGCAUUCUUGCUCCAGAAGUCAAGAAAAUACAUGGUAGGUCUCACGAAGUCAGAAACUUCAACUUGCUGGGAGUCAUAAGGGAAAGGAGAAGUCACCUCGAAACGAGAAUAAGUUAUAUUUACUGUUUGUUAAGAAAAGUUUGGCCACUUCGAUGGCAGAUUUUGUUGGUCAAAACCAGGAGAGGAAUCAGAAAGAAGCUAAUAUAGCCAAAAGUUCUGAUGAUGGACAUUGUGCUAAUUAUGGCUCUGAUUUCUGAUAAUGCGUCCUAGAAACUGGUGGUAUAUGGACACUGUUGUUCAAAUCAAUCUUACUGGGAAUAAGAAAUAGAUGGUUGAUUUUGGACUCUAGGAAGAGGACCAAGAUCAGAUGUUGCAAUGCAUAAGUAUCUGAUGCUGAAGGAAUGAAGGAAUGUUAGAGUGAUUAUGAAAUAAUGACAAAUCUGCGUUAAUUCAAACAGCGUGCUGGUAUGUUCCUGGCAUGAAGAGGCAAUUUGAAUGAGUGUAGUUCAAAAUUAAUUUUAAGGAUCUUCAGUUACCAUGAAUGGACAAUCUUUUGAAAAGUUGUUAUGACUGUAAUUAAGGAGUUUUGAUUAUGGAGUCAGAACAGGAAGGAACAUAACAUUCAAUAUGAAUGUUAAAAUUGGCAAACUUUGAAUGCCUUAGCGCAACAAAGUGUUGUGAGAAAGUGAGUUAUGGCACAAAAAUUUGGUCAUUUUGACACUUUCAGAAGCUUAAGGCAUCUGAAUUCGCAAGAAAACUGGUGACGUGGAAUUCUGGCAAUUUAAGAAACAAGAAAAGUCAUUCAAAUGUGUGCAUAGAGAGGGAAGCAACCAAGGCUACCAUUUGCAUCAGAAGUAGGCUCAAAGAAAAAAACAUGCUUUGGAGUAGUGCAUUAUGAUGUGUGUAAGCAAUUUCCCAGAACAAUCACUAGGAGGGAAUAAAAUAUGUGUGUUAUUUGUGGAUGAGUUCAUAAGGAUGACAUGGGUAUCCCUUGCAUAAAAGUUCAACACGAGGUGUUGCUGAUUUUUUUUAAGAAAAUUCAUAAAUCAAGGCAAUGAGAAACAAAGUGGCCCAGAACUCUGAUUCUCAAAAUUGAUGUGGGAGGUGAGUAGAUAACUCUACAGAGUUCAAGAAGUUUGUGAGGAGAAUGAAAUUUUGGAGCAUGAAGUGACUCCUCCAUAUACUCCUCAACACAAUGGUCUUUGGCUAAAAGGGAGAACGCAACUUUGCCUGAUAUGGCAAGGAGCAUGUUGAAGGAGAAAGAAGCUUCUAACACUUUGUGGGGAGAAGCUCUUUGCAGACUGCAGACAUAUGUGCUCAAUCAGGUGGUUCACAAGAAAGCUGAAGGAAAUUGGUUCCUUUUGGAGAGUUGGACUGGAGAUAAGAAAAGUGUGAGUCAUUUUCAGGAGUAUUUGGGUUCUGUCUAUUAUAAACACGUUCUAGAUGCUACUAGAAAGAACUGGAUUAUAUAUAGCAAGGUGAUUGUUACUAUUUGGUUAUGAAACAGUACAACUGCUUAUAAGUUUUAUUGUCUAUUCCUAAUAAAUUGAAGUUAGCAAAGAUGUUAUUGUGAAAGAAGUCCAGAAGUAUGGGAUUUGGAGCAAAUCUCAAUCCAACUCCGAUGUAGAGUUAACUUCUAAAGAUAUUGGUUCUGAUUCUGAAGAUGAGUUAGAGCUUGCGCAAAUGAUUAUGAGAGUGAAGUCAUCACGCAGAAGAGAGCGAUGUUUUAAUAAGAAAGAACUAAUUUGAAUCUAGGAUUCUUGACGGUGAUUCAAUUCUGGUGAUCCAGAUUAGAUGGUGGAUUUCAGAUUCUGGUGGUGUGCCCAAUUAUGGGAAUAUUCCAAGAUUCUGAGGUGGUCCAUGCUUCUGAAGUCGGUAAACUUUCCCGGAAGUUCAAUAUCUGAUAUUAUUUCCUAGAAUUAUGAAGGUUUUUGAACAAGUUCAGAAAAAUUAGAAAACACUUCGAGAAUGUUUUGCAGGCAUCAGAUACUGUUUCCAGAAUCAGAAGGUUCUGAAAUAAGUUCUGAGGCCAAAAAAAUUAGAAACAUUCCGAGAAGGUUAUAGAGUUUAACAUGCUGCAAGAUAAUUAAGUAGAUUCUGAAGAGGAAGUUAUUCAGUGUGCCAUGUUAGUAGACUCUGAACCCGUUGUGUACGAAAGAAGAUCUCAGCCAAAAAAGUCUGGUUGAUAGGCCAUAAAAGGAAAAAUUUGACGUCAUAGAAGAGAAAUAAGACUUGGAAGUUUUGACAGAACUUCCAAAGACAAGAAAGUCAUCACUAUGAGAUGGGUUUAUAAGGCCGAAGCUAAAGCCAGAUUAGGAUCAAUUGGAAAACACAAAAGCAACGGUUAAUUGUGAGAGGUUUUCUGCAAAAACUGGGUUAGAUUACUUUGAAGUGUUUGUGCCUCUAGCAAACAUGAACAAAUCAGGCUGGUGAUUUGGGAAUAACCAAUUUUUUUUUUUUAGGAAGUAGUGGAAGUUUUUCAAAUAAGCAGGGAUUUCAGAAAUGUGAGAUGAGUAUGGUGUCUAUGUUUAAAUCAUACUCUGAAGGCAAAAUAUGAUAUGGUGUGUCCUGUAUGUUGAAUGACAUAUGAUUGUUAAUAGGAAAAGUGUGAACAUGAGAGUAGCUUAAGUUAGAAGGAGCUGAUGAAAUAGCUUGAGAUGACUAAUCUAGGAAAUAUGGUUUUAAUUUUUCUUAGGAUGAAGAUUAUGUACUCUGAUAAAGGCAUACAUUUUAUAAUCAGCUAAAAUGUGAACUUGAGCUUCUGAAGAGAUUUGAAGUUGUUGAAUUGUAAAGUUGUCAACACCCCUGAUACAAAUAGAAACUGGAGCUCUGAUUCUAAUGGAUGAUGAUGUAGAUAGCGACAACGUUCAAGCAGUUGGUAGGUUCUCUGAGGUUUUAAUGUAAUACCAUGCCUGAUAAUUUGCCUAUUGUGCAGUUGAAUGAUGAGUACGGUUUAAUGAGUAAAUCGAAAUGGUCUUCAUUAACCAAGAUGAUGUCAGAAUUUUUCGAGGUAUAUAAAGGGAACUCUGAAGUAUGGAGGUUUUGUUCCCUUAUGGGUGUUGAAAACUGACUCAGAACUUCGAGUUACUUCUCAGAUUCUGAUGGUGUGGAGACAAAGUUGACAGAUAGAAGUUAACUUAUGGAUAUCUUGUUUAAGUUUCUAGAAGUCCCUAUUCUUGGUGUUCCAAAGAAGCAAUCAUGUUGUUGCUUUGUCAACCUGUGAAGUAGCAGAAUAUAAUUGCAGGUGUUGAAAAAAAAAAAAAUAAAUUUUUUACACGUGCAAAGCUUUAUGGCUUCUGAAAUUUACUACAGGAUCUGAAAGAUCAAAGUAAACAGCCCACUGAAAGCUGAUGAUUGAUGACCAAGUCCUGGCAAAUCAAUCUUGCCAAAGAACUAAGUCAUAGCUGUGAGAGAACAAACAUAUUGAGACUAAGUAUCACUUUUUGAGAAAUCAAAAGUUCCAAGAAUGGGAGUAGCUAGAAGUUUGUGCACUGUAGACUUUGAUCAUAUUAUCCAGUUGCUGUUCGUGAAUCUCUCAAUAUUGAAAUAUUAAAAUUUAGGAUGAUUUGGUUUGUUUGUUGGAGGCACAUGAGAAUGAAGGAUUACUGAAAGGAAAGGUAUUCAAGAUUUGAUACAAGCACUACAGGCUUCAACAUGGAAGAAAUGUGGUGGUUCCAACAAGUUAAAAAGGAAAUGAGAUAAGACUUGAGAGCCAGAAGUCCUUUGGUCGAACCUUAAAAAACAUAAGGUCGUGAUAGGGCAUUCUGAAUCCUCCAAAGAGGAGAAGGGAAACACCUAUCAUAAAAGACAAAGAAGAGAAAAAAGGUGUGCAGUGCUAUCACUAUGAAAAAUGGGUCAGUGGACAAGAAUUGUUGGUAGCAUGAAGAAAUAAAAUAAUGAAAGGAGCAAACCAUCGCACGCCAAGAUUUCAGAUGAUUCAGACAUGGUGAUUAUGGCUUAGUUGCAGAUGAGCAUGUCGACAACAAAAUUUGUUUCUUGGCAGAUAUUGCUCGAAUCACAUGAUAGGUAGAAGAAAGCGUGGUUAACAGAUUCGAGGAGUCGAAGAAGAGCAAGGUCAACUAUUGAAUCAUAUCUCCAGUUGCAAACGAAGUACUAACGACAUUGUUAUUAUUCGAAGGAGAAUAAUGAGCAAAAUCUAUGAAUCAAAGAUUACUGCUAUGUACGUGAAUGAAGUGCAACCUGCUAAGUGUUGACAAUUGGUCGAAAAAGGUUUCUCAAGUGGUUAUGAAAGAGUGGAAGCCUUGGAAAUGUUCCACACUCUAGAAUUAGUUGGUCUUAAAAUCUAUUAUGUCGAAAGAAAUAUGACACUUAAGACCAUGUUCAUUUCGAAUGAAGGUUACAAUGCCUCAAAAUAGUAUGUCGACCACAAGAUAGUUGGUUGUGGAAUUUGAGGUUUGGAUCACUUGCAUUUUAGGUCACUCAAUUAAUUGAUUACCAAGAAUAUGGUAAUAUGGUAUAUCCAAGUCUUGAGAUGCCCGACAAAUUCUAUGAAGGUUUCUUAUAGGGAAGCAAUCCAGAAAGUUCUUUCGUUUCGAAUAUGCCAAAUGAGGUCCUCUGUAAAAUAGAAGUAGUACAUCAAAUGUAUGUUGGUCAUUUGAAGAUUCAUAGCCAUCUGGCGGAAAUGCGUUAUUUUGUUCAUUUGUCGAGAUAAGUAAGCAACUUGAAAAACUUUGGAUAUAUGUGAUCAAACAUAAAGACAAAGUAUUUUCAUCUUUAAGAGAUUCAAAUGCUUUUAAAAAAACCAUAGUGAGAAGAAAGAUUUAAAGUUUUGGCACAGAUGAAGGUGUAAAAUACACGCCCAAACAUGUUUGAAGAGUUUACGUAGAAUAUGAUAUCGCAUUCAUCGAGCGUAACUUCUCCUUACACACGCNNNNNNNNNNNNNNNNNNNNNNNNNUCACAUUCUUCAAGAACGUCAUCAAUUUUUUUAUCCAAACUUCUAUCAAUUCUUCACCAAAUUGAGGAUUCUUUUUGAUUUGUGCUCACAAGCUAAGAGCUGCAUCUUUUGCCAAGCCAUUUGCCAAAAACCUCAUAUGCUCGUGAUGGAGUGUGUUGCAAAAAGUCCCAUUUCAAAAUUCCAUGUAAUGUGAGAUUUGGACCAUUUUGCCCUUGGUUUUUAAUUGAUGCACUUGAAAAUUGACCUUUUGCAUUGACCAUUUUUGAUGAAUUUGGACCAUACACCAUGAAAGUACAUGUGAAAUGGGGUUUGCUCAUAAAAAGAUCAUCCAUUUUGGACAUUCCAUGUGAAAGUUAUGUCACUUUGAUUAUAGGCAUUUUUGGAAAAUGAAUGGACCAUAACUUGUCAACCAUACAUGGGAAUUUCAAGUUCUUGGACUUUUUGGAAAGGUAAGACCAAGAUCUACAACUUUCAUGUUGAACAAAUUUUCAUUUGAAGCUUUUUUUGGACAUGUAAUUUUGUGGUGAAAAACUUUCCAUUUUUGGAAACUUCCAUUACAAGUCACUUUUCAUUUUUGGCAAUUUUUUGUCUGACUUUAUUUUCUUCAUUCUUGAGCUUUGACAUGUCAAAUGAAGCUUAUUUCAACAUGAAUGAAAUGUAUCCAACUCUCUCCCACCUCCAAAUCCAUAAAAUCAAGCACAGUUGACCACAGUUGACUUUUCAACUGAUAGAUGAAUUUGGCAAUGCACUGAUCAAGCUGAGCCCCAAUCCUCUGAUGAAAUGGCUCAAGGAUGAAACCCUAGCCUCCAUAAGCUCAAUAUAAUCAUGAAAUAAUCCCCAUAUCCAUUGUAGACCCCAUCUCCUUGCCAUGCCCUGAUUGGCCCAAUGCAACUGAUUAGGGUUGACCAGUGGUCAAAACCCUAAUCUCAAGGUAUAUGAUCAAUAUCUUGAAUCUUCUGAUGAUAUCAAGACCAUGAUGAUAAUGAUGUAUCACUUCAACCAAGAUGUAGACCAAUCCCUUGAGAAACCAAAACCCUAAUUUGGACCUCCACAUCCUCAGAUGAUUAAUGACCCAAUCCAAUGAAACCCUAGCUUGCAUCUCCACCUUUUACCUUCUGACCAAGACUUAGGAGGAUGACUUGCACAAUGUAACCACAUGAUAUGCAAUAUGCAAUGCCUAAUGUCCUAAAAUGAUAUGCAAAUAUGUUAAGCCAGUCCCAAAAGAGGAGGGCAAAUUUUGAGGUGUUACACACUUUCCAACAGGAUUUAAAAGGAAAAACUUAAAGAGAAAAAAGGGGCUUCUCAUCAAAAAUUGUUGUUGCAACUUCAAAAUAGAAAAGAUAAUAGCACAUAAUAGAAUUAAUCUCCACAACAUCAUAACCAACUUAACAAACCUCUAACCAACUUCUCACAACCUAACUGAAUUGAAAACUAAAAACCAAAACAGAAAAACAAAUUGAGAGAGAGGAGCAAUUGAAGUUCUAUAAAUGCUUACCAUUCUUUACACUUCAAGGGUCGGCACUCUAUUUUUCAUCUGCUGCAUUCCGCAGAUAUUCGACCCUAAUCUGCAAGCUUCUGCAUCAGAGAAGCACAUUCUGCAAACUCCUAUCUCUGCAUCAGACCUUCACCUUGCAACUCUCGCUAACAGAAUCAACAACUUUAAACCAAGAAAUCCUCACAGUACCUCUACCUUCCCUCUCCAAUUCUCUCAACAGAAUCCUACACCCCUAA